rnacentral:sRNA from 1 species
UAAGAGCGAUCCCUCUAGCUGUCCUGUUCCCGGGCACGGAACAAACCCCAUCGCGACCGGUUCUCCUGACGU